rnacentral:tRNA from 1 species
GAGCCUGUGGCUCAAGGAGUAGGGUGCCGGCCUCAUAUGCCGGAGGUGGCAGGUUCA